rnacentral:ncRNA from 2 species
UAGGAAUACCUGUGUUUUGGUGCUUUAAUGCUUAAUAGGGAACUCCUGUGAAAUUCAGGGACGGGCCCGCCGCUGUAACCCCGCCUCUUUUAAAAUAAAGGGGAACUUUUUUGGCUGGAAAAUGUCACUGUUUUGUUUGAACAAAAUGGGAAGGCUGGCAAAAAAGAAAGGAAGUCAGAAGACCUGCCGAAACCUGAUUGAUAAU